rnacentral:rRNA from 1 species
UACGAAGGUGGCAAGCGUUACUCGGAAUUACUAGGCGUAAAGGGCAGGUAGGUGGUUUGGUUAGUCUGUUGUGAAAGCUCCUUGCUUAACGGGGAGAGGCCAACAGAUACUGCCAGACUUGAGUAUAGGAGAGGGUACUGGAAUUCCCGGUGUAGCGGUGAAAUGCGCAGAGAUCGGGAGGAACACCAAUGGCGAAAGCAGGUACCUGGACUAUUACUGACACUAAGCUGCGAAAGCUAGGGGAGCAAACAGG